CAAUAGCGUAUAUUUAAGUUGUUGCAGUUAAAAAGCUCGUAGUUGGAUUUCGGUUAAGAGCGACCGGUCUGCCGUUUGGUGUGCACUGGUUGGUUUUAACUUCCUGUAGAGGACGUGCUCUGGGUUUAACGACCUGGACUCGGAGUCUACGUGGUUACUUUGAAAAAAUUAGAGUGUUCAAAGCGGGCUUACGCUUGAAUAUUUCAGCAUGGAAUAACACUAUAGGACUCCUGUCCUAUUUCGUUGGUCUCGGGACGGGAGUAAUGAUUAAGAGGAACAGUUGGGGGCAUUCGUAUUUCAUUGUCAGAGGUGAAAUUCUUGGAUUUAUGAAAGACGAACUUCUGCGAAAGCAUUUGCCAAGGAUGUUUUCAUUAA
rnacentral:rRNA from 1 species